rnacentral:rRNA from 1 species
GACGAACGCUGGCGGCGUGCUUAACACAUGCAAGUCGAACGGUAAGGCCCUUCGGGGUACACGAGUGGCGAACGGGUGAGUAACACGUGGGUGAUCUGCCCUGCACUUCGGGAUAAGCCUGGGAAACUGGGUCUAAUACCGGAUAGGACCCUGGGAUGCAUGUCCUGGGGUGGAAAGCUUUUGCGGUGUGGGAUGGGCCCGCGGCCUAUCAGCUUGUUGGUGGGGUGAUGGCCUACCAAGGCGACGACGGGUAGCCGGCCUGAGAGGGUGACCGGCCACACGGGGACUGGGAUACGGCCCAGACUCCUACGGGAGGCAGCAGUGGGGAAUAUUGCACAAUGGGCGCAAGCCUGAUGCAGCGACGCCGCGUGAGGGAUGACGGCCUUCGGGUUGUAAACCUCUUUCAGCAUCGACGAAGCGAAAGUGACGGUAGGUGCAGAAGAAGGACCGGCCAACUACGUGCCAGCCGCCGCCGUAA